rnacentral:lncRNA from 1 species
UGGAUUCUUCUUUUUUAGAGGCAGCACCAGGCGCCUUCGUAGCAACAACCUUAGAGGCAACUACCUUAGAGGGAGGUUUCUGUCAAAAAGACAAUCAAUCAUCAAGUCAGGUGUCAAAGGACCAUAUUUGCAUAUAUCACGCAACAUAAAGCAAAUGGUGGUGUUACAUCAUCAUCUGAACUAGAGUCAGUUGACGAAGAAUCAUCAUCGCUGGAUUCUUCUUUUUUAGAGGCAGCAACAGGCGCCUUCUUAACAACAGGCGCCUUCUUAACAACAGGCGCCUUCUGAACAACAGCAUCAUCCUCAGAGCUGCUAUCAUCCUCAUCACUUGACUCAUCUUUCUUAGAGCCAUUAGUUGGAGGUUUCUUGGGUGCAGGUUCAUCUUCCUCAGAGCUGCUAUCAUCCGACUCAUCACUUGACUCAUCUUUCUUCUUAGCAGCAACACCAUUCUUGGUUGAAACCACAACAACCUUCUUAGAAGGAGCCUAUACACCACCCCAACACCAACAAUUGAUUAGAAAACUAGCCAAAAAUAUACACAGUAGCUCCUGUUGAAGUUAAAGUAAUUACGUACUUCAUCCUCAGAAUCUGAAGAAUCUGUAGAAUCAGAAUCGUCAGAACUGCUGGCUAAUUUUCCAUUUUUGGCAGGAGCCACUUUCUUAGGAGGUACCACUGCUUUUGCAGGCUGCAUAACAAAUUAAGAAUAAUUCACAUCUUAGGAGUCAGUUAUUCAAUACAAAUUACAAAUCAAAAUUGAUGAAAGGAGUUCGGUGCAGGCAUGUAUUACCUUUUCAUCUUCAGAAUCAGAGGAACUAUCGUCAGAGGAACUGCUUUCUUGUUUCUUCUUCUUCUUCUGAGUCUUUGCAUCACUCUUGUUUUUCUCAACAGCUUGUGCUACAGCCACAUCUUUCUUCUGCUUCUUUGCACUCACU